UACAGAGGUCCCAAGCGUUGUUCGGAUUCACUGGGCGUAAAGGGUGCGUAGGCGGUUUGGUAAGUUUGAUGUGAAAUCUCCGGGCUCAACCCGGAAAAUGCAUUGAAUACUAUCAGGCUAGAGAGUCGGAGGGGGGACUGGAAUACUUGGUGUAGCAGUGAAAUGCGUAGAUAUCAAGUGGAACACCAGUGGCGAAGGCGAGUCCCUGGACGAUUUCUGACGCUGAGGCACGAAAGCUAGGGGAGCAAACAGG
rnacentral:misc_RNA from 1 species